rnacentral:siRNA from 1 species
UUAACUUUCGUUAACUUUGCCA